GAUGAACGCUGGCGGCGUGCCUAAUACAUGCAAGGCGAGCGAACAGACGAGGAGCUUGCUCCUCUGACGUUAGCGGCGGACGGGUGAGUAACACGUGGAUAACCUACCUAUAAGACUGGGAUCACUUCGGGAAACCGGAGCUAAUACCGGAUCAUAUAUUGAACCGCAUGGUUCAAUAGUGAAAGACGGUUUUGCUGUCACUUAUAGAUGGAUCCGCGCCGCAUUAGCUAGUUGGUAAGGUAACGGCUUAGCAAGGCAACGAUGCGUAGCCGACCUGAGAGAGUGAUCGGCCACACUGGAACUGAGACACGGUCCAGACUCCUGCGAGAGGCAUCAGUAUCGAAUCUUCCGCAAAGGUCGAAAACUUGACGGAGCAACGCGGAGUAAGUGAUGAAGGUCUUCGGAUCGUAAAACUCUGUUAUCAGGGAAGAACAACUGUGUAAGUAACUAUACACGUCUUGACGGUACCUAAUCAGAGAGCCACGGCUAACUACGUG
rnacentral:rRNA from 1 species